UACGGAAGGCAGCAGUGGGGAAUAUUGCACAAUAGGCGCAAACCUGAUGCAGCCAUGCCGCGUGUAUGAAAAAGGCCUUCGGGUUGUAAAGUACUUUCAGUCGUGAGGAAGGUGUUAAGGUUAAUAACCUUAGCAAUUGACGUUAGCGACAGAAGAAGCACCGGCUAACUCCGUGCCAGCAGCCGCGGUAAUACGGAGGGUGCGAGCGUUAAUCGGAAUUACUGGGCGUAAAGGGCACGCAGGCGGUUAAUUAAGUUGGAUGUGAAAUCCCCGGGCUUAACCUGGGAAUGGCAUUCAAGACUGGUUAGCUAGAGUCUUGUAGAGGGGGGUAGAAUUCCAUGUGUAGCGGUGAAAUGCGUAGAGAUGUGGAGGAAUACCGGUGGCGAAGGCGGCCCCUGGACAAAGACUGACGCUCAUGUGCGAAAGCGUGGGGAGCAAACAGGGAUUAGAUACC
rnacentral:rRNA from 1 species